rnacentral:lncRNA from 1 species
CGAGCACCUAGAUAAAAGCCGCUGGGUGAAGUCUGCAGCCGGCCGCGGGCAGUGCUGGGCCCCAAGCCAGGUGUGCUCAGGUAUCUGUGUCUGAGCCGCGAGACACGGGAACAUCCCCUGGAAGCUGUCGGGGCGGAAGCUGAGGUGGAGUCAGGCAGCUCAGGUUCACACAAUCUCCGCAAAGAUCCUGCCGGCUGAGGAGGCUGAACCUGGCGAGAUCUAAUCUUAGAGGAACGGGGAAGUUUCUGCACAAGGGCCAAAUUAUUCAUCUUUUGAAAGUAGAACAGGGAUUGCCAACAGCAUCAGCAUUUGAAAUACCCAAGUAUUAAGGAUGGAGAAGAAGAAACGAGUGGAGCUGUCCCUGAGAAAUGGAGAAGCACCUACUACCCAGGUCGCCCCUGAUGCAGAAGGCGAGGCCCGUCACCCGCGGAGAGCCAGUGAUGUGGGGCUCUUUUACCUAAAAUAGAAGGCAGAGCCCCAGGCUGCUCCAGUCGUGGGGGUAGGGGGAGGAGAUGGGAAGCCGCCCCUCCAGCUCCUUAAACUUCAUGCCUGGGAAGCACUUGGACCCCUGGCUAAAGUGCAGACCUUGUCCGGCAGCCGGCGUGGGGCCUGAGAGUCUGCAUUUCUAACAGUCCCGGGUGAUGCUGAUGCUGCCGAGGGUCAGACUGUGUAGCAGAAACCUGGACUCUGUCCUCCAGCUGCCGGAGCGAAACUCAGACACGAGCCUGGAGAGCUGCGGUGAACGUUUGCGAAGAGAAAGGAGGCUGGAAAUUUCACAUCAUCUUUUAAGAUCAUUACGGGUUUUUCCCUCUGGAUGCUUCUGUGCCCUGGGGCAGACCCAGGCUCUGACGGGAGGUAUAGGGUGGAGUUUGUUGACACUGACGCUCUUUCUGCAAUGUCUGCCUGAGGGCCCCGAAUUUGAAUUCAAGCCACUGUUUGGAAGGAUGGCAGGAGUGGACCAACAAUGGAUGGGGCGGCCACGUGCCGGCAUAUGCUAGGGUUUUUAGGACACACACCAGUGUCAUCAUUGUGUGGCUUUCCCACAUCGCUCAGGCUAAUCCACAGGCG